rnacentral:lncRNA from 1 species
CAAGAAAAUACCGCAAACGAUCGCAGAGGAAUUGAAACGUACAAGUCAAGUCGGCACCUGGUUAAAUUGGCAUCUAGUCAAAUCGGCACCUAUUCGACGUCAAUUCGGCAUCCAAUAAUAUUUGUUAUAAUAUUUUCUAUUCAAUUAAUUAAUUACUGUUACCAAGUACAUAGUGAAUAUGUUGUUGUGUAUUUUGGUAAACAACGAAACGAAAGUGAAUAUGUUGUGUAUAAAGGUAAAC